GUUUUUGUACUUUCCAAACCAAUUCUGACUUACAAAUACAUUUUUGUUUUUGUUCUGUAAAAUUCUGAAAGGACAAUCAGAAGCAAUAUACUGUUUAAUAUUCCUGCCAGCCCACCAAAAAUUAGGAAGAUUCCAGGACACUUUAAAUGGGAAAUGGAUUGGAGUGUGGCAGGAAGGGAGAGAGAGAGAGAGAAAGGAAAGACAGGAUAGAGAGAGACAACUAGACCUGCUGUAUCUGAUGAGUUGAUCUGUCAUGAAGAUUUGGGCUUGGCUGGAGAAGUGGAGUUUCACUGGACCUCUGUGGCUCCAUCUGCUGAAAUAUUCAUCUUUAGUAGUAAUUGAGAGGCAGAAAGGGAGAACAAAACAUGAGGAAGAAAUCUGAAGUACUGAAUCGUCUUGCAGCAAUUCAGUUUCUCACAAGGAUGCCA